UACGUAGGGUGCAAGCGUUGUCCGGAAUUAUUGGGCGUAAAGAGCUCGUAGGCGGUCUGUCACGUCGGCUGUGAAAGCCCCGGGGCUUAACCCCGGGUCUGCAUUCGAUACGGGCAGGCUAGAGUUCGGUAGGGGAGAUCGGAAUUCCUGGUGUAGCGGUGAAAUGCGCAGAUAUCAGGAGGAACACCGGUGGCGAAGGCGGAUCUCUGGGCCGAUACUGACGCUGAGGAGCGAAAGCGUGGGGAGCGAACAGG
rnacentral:rRNA from 1 species